rnacentral:lncRNA from 1 species
UAGGGCAGGAAACUGAAGCUCUUGGGAAGGCGGAAGUUGCACGUGGUCUCACAGUCAACUGUGCCAGAAUAGGAGGCCAGGAACCAUCUCUGCUGGAGGAAGACCCACCACGCAUCCCUUCAAGAGUGCCAAGGUCCAGAGCAAGCGCUUCCCUUCUAUGGGCACAGGAGGGCUGUGGGAGCCCACAAAUGUGCUUCUGGCCAGAGUGGGAUCCCCGAGGAAGAUGUUAAGACCUCUAAUAAUAUUUAAGAGCAAAAUUAGCACAGCUCCAGCCCAUGGGCAAGUUAGAGACAGGAGUAGUGUCUGUGGAGUGGAGGAAAGCAGAGGCUGCCGCUGACCAUCCUGCAGCCCUCGCUCUGGCUGCUCACAGCUCUCCACCUUCUCUGGACUUCGUCACUUCAGUAUGUGAAACAACCAUUUCAACCAGCUUGGACAAAAGAGAGAAGCCAAGAUGGGGCUGAGAAACCAAUGCAGGCAGGCCCAGGGACCCAGGAGUCAGGGACCAGGUGCUACCAGAUGCUUGCUCCGACUCGUGUUGCUGCUGUCUUCUCUGUGCCUCAACUCUGUCCUCUGUCACUGCAGGCAGCUUCCUCCCAAGGUGGAAGGCGAUAUAUCCCACCUCAUGAAAUCAGGCUUCACCACAAGAUUGCUUUGACCAAUGGGACGUGAGUAGAAGUUUGAAGAACCACAGACUGGUCCAUCACCUUGUUUCUUAUCCCUCUGACAUAAGCAAUGUCCCAGACUGGGGCUGUUCUGUUAGCCUGGCUUCCAGAAUGAAGAGAGCUGAUCUACAUGGCAUAUGUAACAUAAAUAAACCUUUGUUAUUACAAACCACUGAAACUUGGGACUUCUUUGUCACAGCAGAUGAAUUUAGCCUAACUAUCCAAUACAGGUAUCUUGAGAAGAAACAGCAACAGGAGAAGAAGAAGAAACAGCAACAGCAACAGGACGAAGAGUUGUUUUGGGGGAAAAAAGGAUGAUCCAGGGUGAAAUGUAAUAAUUCUGAGGUGGCCAUUG